rnacentral:misc_RNA from 1 species
CCGCCGCAUAAAUACACCCACGCAAAUUAUCCGGUGGAUUGUGCGCAGGGCGAGUCACCGCAUUCCGACUAGGCGACACUCCCCAUUCCGCUCUCUGCCGCCCGCCCGUAGGCGCUUGCGGCCAUUUGCUAGGCGCCAGUGCCCUCGUCGUGUAACAUCUUCAUUGUGCCCGGCGCCACUCUCGCCUUUUCAGCGUUCACAAUGUUGCGCUUCACACGUGCCUCGUUCACGGGCCGCGCGAUGAUCUCGCGCGGCAGUCCCGAGUGGUCUCACCGCCUCGACCUCAAGAAGGGCAAGAAAACGACGCUGGCGCACAAGCUCGGCACUAGCAAGCCCAACAACGCGUUGCAGUACGCGCAAAUGACGUUGCACGACUUGACAGAAUGGGUCGUGGCCUACUCGCCGUGGCCGCUAACCUUUGGUCUUGCCUGCUGCGCAGUGGAGAUGAUGCACUCUUACUCGUCGCGCUACGACUUAGACCGAUUUGGUAUUGUGCCGCGCCCCUCUCCUCGUCAGGCGGAGAUCAUUAUCGUCUCCGGCACCGUGACAAACAAGAUGGCACCGCUGCUGCGCAACAUCUACGUGCAGAUGGUAAACCCAAAGUGGGUGAUUUCGAUGGGUAGCUGCGCCAACGGCGGUGGCUACUACCACUUCUCGUACGCCGUGCUCCGCGGCUGCGAGCGGGCGAUCCCGGUCGACUUCUGGAUCCCUGGCUGCCCGCCGUCGGCUGAGAGCCUCGUAUUUUGUCUGCACAACCUGCAGAAGAAGAUCCGCUGGCACGAGAUUCAAAAAUACUCGGUGCGGUAAGCAGCGCAGAGGAGAGGCACACACCAAAGGCGAGAGCGAGCGACGCCUAUACGAGAGGGGUGGGGGUGGCUCACUGAGGAACAUGACGGGCAAAAGCGGACGCAACGCAGGCAGGCGUGCAGGCCUGAAAGGGCCCUGACAGGAGUGGGAAGGGCUUGCGCCUACGGCAUCCUGGAAGGUGUGGACGGUGCCGAGAAUGUGUCUCGAUACCGCGGGGCUUCCUCGUUUGUAUGUGUGGCACGUCCGUUUUCCUCAUCCAGCUUCCGGGCUCAUGACCUCAUCUGCAUGGGCUGCCUUUGACUUUUAUCGGCGUUCCUUUAGGAGCGCAUUGCUCGUCAACAUCGUUCACUGCUUCUUUUUAUUUCGUGUGCGGUGUGUCAGUGCUGUGUUGUACAUCUUCGCAUGUGCAUGGGAUCGUGCAUAGAGGCAGGUGUGCAUGUUGGGACCAGGCGCGCUCGUUCGCUCGCUUGCUGGCCAUCUCGGAGUGCGCACGUGAUCGCGUGUGCCGUGCCAUCAUUUUUUUCUGUUAUUUUUCUUUAUUGCUGGGAAUCUUUUUUCUUUGCUUGUCCUCUCGGUCUCGGCCUUUUCCGUGCUUCCUCUGGACGUGUGCACUGAAGCGGUAGGCGGGUGCACCAUCGGCCUCCCCCUUCCCUUUUUCGCCGCCGCCACCCCCAUCAGCCACAUACCCACACCUAUACGUACACGCAUGUCCACCUCCCUCUAUUUUCUCUCUGCCCGUGUCUCUUCCACAAACUCGCCUCCCUCUGCCCAUUUGUAUGUUCUGUAGUGUCUUAGUUAGCUUUAGCACCUGUAUAGUCUAUCGUCGUCGCCGUGCCCUGAGAAUGAGCGAAAUGAG